UCCAUGCUUUAGGGGUGCCUCACAUUUGUGUGGCUGAGAUCAUACCCUCAUAAACCUGAUCCGGUUCGUACCGGUGUAGGGAAAAGUUCGCUUCCAUGC
rnacentral:ncRNA from 2 species